rnacentral:pre_miRNA from 1 species
UUUAUAUGACACCGUUAACUUUUAUAUCCACGUUUGACCUUUCGUCUUAUUUAAAAAAAUUAUAUAAUUAUUAAUUAUUUUGUUAUAAUAUGAUUUAUUAUUAUAGGAAUUUUAAGUAUGUUUUAUAAUUUUACAUAUUUAGAUAUAAAUUUUAAAUAAGACGAACGGUCAAACGUAUAUUUAAAAGUUAACGGCGUCGUAUAAA